UCCGUAGGUGAACCUGCGGAGGGAUCAUUACACAAUUAAAAUAUGAAGGCUUCGGCUGGAUUAUUUUUAUCACCCUUGUCUUUUGCGCACUUGUUGUUUCCUGGGCGGGUUCGCCCGCCACCAGGACCACACCAUAAACCUUUUUUAUGCAGUUGCAAUCAGCGUCAGUAUAACAAAUGUAAAUCAUUUACAACUUUCAACAACGGAUCUCUUGGUUCUGGCAUCGAUGAAGAACGCAGCGAAAUGCGAUACGUAGUGUGAAUUGCAGAAUUCAGUGAAUCAUCGAAUCUUUGAACGCACAUUGCGCCCUUUGGUAUUCCAAAGGGCAUGCCUGUUCGAGCGUCAUUUGUACCCUCAAGCUUUGCUUGGUGUUGGGCGUCUUUUGUCUUUGGCCUCGCCCAAAGACUCGCCUUAAAACGAUUGGCAGCCGGCCUACUGGUUUCGCAGCGCAGCACAUUUUUGCGCUUGCAAUCAGCACAAGGACGGCAAUCCAUCAAGACUACAUUUUUACGUUUGACCUCGGAUCAGGUAGGGAUACCCGCUGAACUUAAGCAUAUCAAUAAGCGGAGGAAAAGAAACCAACAGGGAUUGCCCUAG
rnacentral:rRNA from 1 species